CGGGACACGUGGUAUCCUGUCUGAAUAUGGGGGGACCAUCCUCCAAGGCUAAAUACUCCUGACUGACCGAUAGUGAACCAGUACCGUGAGGGAAAGGCGAAAAGAACCCCGGCGAGGGGAGUGAAAAAGAACCUGAAACCGUGUACGUACAAGCAGUGGGAGCACGCUUAGGCGUGUGACUGCGUACCUUUUGUAUAAUGGGUCAGCGACUUAUAUUCUGUAGCAAGGUUAACCGAAUAGGGGAGCCGAAGGGAAACCGAGUCUUAACUGGGCGUUAAGUUGCAGGGUAUAGACCCGAAACCCGGUGAUCUAGCCAUGGGCAGGUUGAAGGUUGGGUAACACUAACUGGAGGACCGAACCGACUAAUGUUGAAAAAUUAGCGGAUGACUUGUGGCUGGGGGUGAAAGGCCAAUCAAACCGGGAGAUAGCUGGUUCUCCCCGAAAGCUAUUUAGGUAGCGCCUCGUGAAUUCAUCUCCGGGGGUAGAGCACUGUUUCGGCAAGGGGGUCAUCCCGACUUACCAACCCGAUGCAAACUGCGAAUACCGGAGAAUGUUAUCACGGGAGACACACGGCGGGUGCUAACGUCCGUCGUGAAGAGGGAAACAACCCAGACCGCCAGCUAAGGUCCCAAAGUCAUGGUUAAGUGGGAAACGAUGUGGGAAGGCCCAGACAGCCAGGAUGUUGGCUUAGAAGCAGCCAUCAUUUAAAGAAAGCGUAAUAGCUCACUGGUCGAGUCGGCCUGCGCGGAAGAUGUAACGGGGCUAAACCAUGCACCGAAGCUGCGGCAGCGACGCUGAUGCGUUGUUGGGUAGGGGAGCGUUCUGUAAGCCUGUGAAGGU
rnacentral:rRNA from 1 species